GACGAACCGUCCUAACGUUGUUCGGAAUCACUGGGCUUAAAGGGCGCGUAGGCGGGUCAGCAAGUCCGGGGUGAAAUCUUUCGGCUUAACCGGAAAAGUGCCUUGGAGACUGCUGGUCUAGAGGGAGGUAGGGGCAUGUGGAACUUCCGGUGGAGCGGUGAAAUGCGUUGAUAUCGGAAGGAACGCCGGUGGCGAAAGCGACGUGCUGGAUCUCUUCUGACGCUGAGGCGCGAAAGCCAGGGGAGCAAACGGG
rnacentral:rRNA from 1 species